rnacentral:rRNA from 1 species
AUUGAACGCUAGCGGGAUGCCUUACACAUGCAAGUCGAACGGAGUGGCGAACGGGUGAGUAAUGUAUCGGAACGUGCCCAGUAGCGGGGGAUAACUACGCGAAAGCGUAGCUAAUACCGCAUACUAUUGGAGCGGCCGAUACCGGAUUGGCUGGUGGGUGGGGUAACGGCUCACCAAGGCGACGAGCCGUCGCUGGUUUGAGAGGACGCCCAGCCACACGGGGACGGAGACACGGCCCAGACGCCUACGGUAGGCAGCAGUGGGGAAUUUGGGACAAUGGGGGAAACCCUGAUCCAGCCAUCCCGCGUGUGCGAGGAAGGCCUGCGGGUUGUAAAGCACUUUUGGCAGGAAAGCGGUACCUGCAGAAUAAGCACCGGCUAACUACGUGCCAGCAGCCGCGGUAAUAC